GAUUAACGCUGGCGGCGUGCAUAACACAUGCAAGUCGAACGAUGAAACUUAAAUGAUUUCUUCGGAAUGAACUUAAGUGGAUUAGUGGCGGACGGGUGAGUAACGCGUGAGUAACCUGCCUUACACAAGGGGAUAGCCGUUGGAAACGACGAAUAAUACCCUAUGAAACUAUCACUUCGCAUGAAGCGAUAGUCAAAGUGUUAGCGGUGUAAGAUGGACUUGCGUCUGAUUAGCUAGUUGGUGAGAAAAAAGCCCACCAAGGCAACGAUCAGUAGCCGGCUUGAGAGAGUGUACGGCCACAUUGGGACUGAGACACGGCCCAGACUCCUACGGGAGGCAGCAGUGGGGAAUUUUGCACAAUGGGGGAAACCCUGAUGCAGCGACGCCGCGUGAUUUAGAAGGCCUUCGGGUUGUAAAAAUCUUCUGUAUAGGAAGAAAAUGACAGUACUAUACGAAUAAGGUCCGGCUAAUUACGUG
rnacentral:rRNA from 1 species